GAGUUUGAUCGUGGCUCAGAUUGAACGCUGGCGGCGUGCUUAACACAUGCAAGUCGAGCGGUAACAGGUGUAGCAAUACAUGCUGACGAGCGGCGAACGGGUGAGUAAUGCUUCGGAAUCUUCCUCGUAGUGGGGAAUAACCUGGGGGAAACUCAGGCUAAUGCCGCAUACGAACUACGGUUGAAAGCGGGGGGAUCGCAAGACCUCGCGCUAUGAGAUGAGCCGAAGUCGGAUUAGCUAGUUGGUGGGGUAAAGGCCUACCAAGGCGACGAUCCGUAGCUGGUCUGAGAGGACGACCAGCCACACUGGACUGAGACACGGCCCAGACUCCUACGGGAGGCAGCAGUGGGGAAUAUUGGACAAUGGGGGGCAACCCUGAUCCAGCGACGCCGCGUGUGUGAAGAAGGCCUGCGGGUUGUAAAGCACUUUUAGUGGGGACAAAAAGCCGGGGGCUAAUACCUUCCGGUCUUGAUUUUAACCCAAAGAAAAGCACCGGCUAACUCUGUGCCAGCAGCCGCCGCAGUAAG
rnacentral:rRNA from 1 species